rnacentral:rRNA from 1 species
AGCAACCGCGGUAAUUCCAGCUCCAAUAGCGUAUAUUAAAGUUGUUGCAGUUAAAAGCUCGUAGUUGAAUUUCGGGGUUAGUAGGUUGGUCAUGCCUCUGGUAUGUACUGGUCUCACUGAUUCCUCCUUCCUGAUGAGCCGUAAUGCCAUUAAUUUGGUGUUGCGGGGAAUUUGGACUGUUACUUUGAAAAAAUUAGAGUGUUUAAAGCAAGCUAACGCUUGAAUACAUUAGCAUGGAAUAAUGAAAUAGGACGUUCGAUCCUAUUUUGUUGGUUUCUAGGAUUGACGUAAUGAUUAAUAGGGAUAGUUGGGGGCAUUAGUAUUCAAUUGUCAGAGGUGAAAUUCUUGGAUUUAUUGAAGACUAACUACUGCGAAAGCAUUUGCCAAGGAUGUUUUCAUUAAUCAAGAACGAAAGUUAGGGGAUCGAAGACGAUCAGAUACCGUCGUAGUCUUAACCAUAAACUAUGCCGACUAGGGAUCGGAUGAUGUUAAUUUUUUAAUGACUCA